rnacentral:rRNA from 1 species
AUACGGAGGAUCCGAGCGUUAUCCGGAAUUAUUGGGUUUAAAGGGUUCGUAGGCGGUUGAGUAAGUCAGUGGUGAAAUCUUAUAGCUUAACUAUAAAAUUGCCGUUGAUACUGCUUGACUUGAAUAGUAUGGAAGUAAUUAGAAUAUGUAGUGUAGCGGUGAAAUGCUUAGAUAUUACAUGGAAUACCAAUUGCGAAGGCAGAUUACUACGUACUUAUUGACGCUGAUGAACGAAAGCGUGGGUAGC